rnacentral:rRNA from 1 species
GUGCUUACACAUGCAAGUCGAACGGAAAGGCCCUGCUUGCAGGGUACUCGAGUGGCGAACGGGUGAGUAACACGUGGGUGAUCUGCCCUGCACUUCGGGAUAAGCCUGGGAAACUGGGUCUAAUACCGGAUAGGAGCCAUUUUUAGUGUGAUGGUUGGAAAGUUUUUUCGGUGUAGGAUGAGCUCGCGGCCUAUCAGCUUGUUGGUGGGGUAAUGGCCUACCAAGGCGGCGACGGGUAGCCGGCCUGAGAGGGUGGACGGCCACAUUGGGACUGAGAUACGGCCCAGACUCCUACGGGAGGCAGCAGUGGGGAAUAUUGCACAAUGGGCGCAAGCCUGAUGCAGCGACGCCGCGUGGGGGAUGACGGCCUUCGGGUUGUAAACUCCUUUCGCUAGGGACGAAGCUUUUUGUGACGGUACCUAGAUAAGAAGCACCGGCUAACUACGUGCCAGCAGCCGCGGUAAUACGUAGGGUGCGAGCGUUGUCCGGAAUUACUGGGCGUAAAGGGCUCGUAGGUGGUUUGUCGCGUCGUCUGUGAAAUUCCGGGGCUUAACUCCGGGCGUGCAGGCGAUACGGGCAUAACUUGAGUACUGUAGGGGUAACUGGAAUUCCUGGUGUAGCGGUGAAAUGCGCAGAUAUCAGGAGGAACA